rnacentral:rRNA from 1 species
CCUGCUCAAUGCAAAUAAAUAGCCGCUUAUUUAAGUGCUAAGGUAGCAUAAUCAUUUGUCUUUUAAUUGAAGAAUAGCAUGAACGGAUAAACGAGUUAAUAACUUUAUCAGAGUUUUACAAUAAAAUUUAUAUAAAAGUAAAAAAGCUUUUACUCAAAGAAAAGACGACAAGACCCUUUAGAACUUUACUUAAAGUUUAGCUGGGGUGGCUCCGUUAUAAAAACUAAUUCAAAAUUAUAAAAAAAUCUCAAAUUAAACAAUAAAAAGUUACCUAAGGGAUAACAGUACAAUUUAAUUUAAAAGAUCAAAUUAAAAAUUAAAAUUGUAACCUCGAUGUUGAAUUACUAAACUUCUAUUAGAAAAUUAAUUUAAAGUAAGUCUGUUCGACUUUUAAUAAAGUACAU